rnacentral:rRNA from 1 species
GCGCGAAAACUUUACAAUGCUGGCAACAGCGAUAAGGGAACCUCGAGUGCCAGGUUACAAAUCUGGCUGUCGAGAUGCCUAAAAAGCAUUUCAUAGCAAGGGCCGGGCAAGACCGGUGCCAGCCGCCGCGGUAACACCGGCGGAUCGAGUGGUAACCGUUAUUAUUGGGUCUAAAGGGUCUGUAGCAGGCCGGAUAAGUCUCUUGAGAAAUCUGGCAGCUUAACUGUCAGGCGUUCAGGAGAUACUGUCUGGCUCGAGGCCGGGAGAGGU